ACUGCCAAUCUCUUCGUUUGUUACUUAACUCCCACCAGCCCAAGGCAGGUGAACACCAGGCGUGUGUGUCCCUAAGGUAGAACAUUGCAAAAACAGGCAGUGCAAAGGUCUAUGUGGAUUGUAGAGUUGGGGUCUUGAUGUACAACUUUUAAUUGACAUUUUAUAGUCUACAGCAGAGGUUUCCAUAUUUUUUGUUGAUCUAAUUGCUCCUUUAGUUGCUUUCUAAUUAUCACCAUUGACUCCUGUGUUGUUGUUUUUUGCACUCUUUAGAGUUAAUAGUUGAAUUGUCUUUGAACUCUCAAAGACAGUUUGGAAGAGAAACAGGGAGACUAAUUAUUUUGGGUGAAAUUCACCCCUCUUGCAGAGAACCCCUCAUAAGACAUAUGCAACACUUAAGUUCUCAAGUAGGAUUUUGUGCAAGUCUCUGCACAGGAUAAACUUUACCCUGUAAUGAGAAGUUUGCAACAAUUGAUGGCCAUGGAGGCACAUUCUCCCUAUCCAGGAGUGGGCAAUAAGCAGCCUGCAGGUCUAAUGGGUUUUUCCAAGGUUAAUGCUGGGAGAGCUGCCAGAGGUUUUAUUUACCUGAGUGUUCACAGGUAUGGCCAUUUGCACCUCUUGUUGGCACGCACACUAUAAGGUAUGUUUUCUAACCCUUAAUCAUUCUCAUGACUCUGCUUUGAACCAUUUGCAAUUUAAUCACCAUUUUCUUGAACUCUGGACACCAGAAUUGGAGACAGUAUUCUGGCAGUGGUUGCACCAUUCCCAAAUACAGAGGUAAAAUAACCUCUCUGCUACUCAGGAUUCCCCUUGUUAUGCAUCUGGAGCCUAUUUGGCUACGGUACCAUACUUGGAGCCGAUAAAAACCAGAACACCUUGAUGUUUGUCAGAGUCAUUGCUUGCUAGGAUAAAGUCCUCCAUUGUGAGACUCACAAAAAACCCCUCUGGAAAUGGAAUCGGAAUCCUGACCUGAUGUUAAUUUAUCAUCAUUUGACAUUUAGUCAUUGGUGUUUAAUGGCCACUUCAUGUAAAAAUCAAGCAGAUAAACUUCUCCCAAAAAAACAAAGGUCAGUGGAGUGAUGGGACGUCCUAUGUUAAUUCCACAUUUAGCUUUACUAUGGCUGAAGGAGCUGUGAU